GCGAGGGUGGCGAAAUUGGCAGACGCGCAAGACUUAGGAUCUUGUGGUCUUUACCGUGCGGGUUCGAGUCCCGCCCUUCGCA
rnacentral:tRNA from 1 species